rnacentral:rRNA from 1 species
UACAGAGGGGGCAAGCGUUGUUCGGAAUUACUGGGCGUAAAGGGCGCGUAGGCGGCCUUCUAAGUCGAACGUGAAAUCCCUGGGCUCAACCCAGGAACUGCGUCCGAGACUGGUGGGCUCGAAUCCGGGAGAGGGAUGUGGAAUUCCAGGUGUAGCGGUGAAAUGCGUAGAUAUCUGGAGGAACACCGGUGGCGAAGGCGGCAUCCUGGACCGGUAUUGACGCUGAGGCGCGAAAGCCAGGGGAGCAAACGGG